UUCCUCAGCCCCUGAGGAGGGGGACAGGGACUGAGGAAGGGGUCUGGAGCUGAGGAGGGGGACAGGGACAGAUCCCCCUUCCUCAGUCCCGGUCCCCCUCCUCAGGGGCUGAGGAA